rnacentral:rRNA from 1 species
GACGAACGCUGGCGGCGCGCUUAACACAUGCAAGUCGAGCGGGAACCGGGCCUUCGGGCCCGGGGACAGCAGCGAACGGGUGAGUAACACGUGGGUAAUCUGCCCUCGGUACUGGGAUAGCCCGGGGAAACCCGGAUUAAUACCGGAUAGCCCUUCGAGCCUUCGGGCUCGCAGGAAAAGGUAGCUUCGGCCUCCGACCGAGGAUGAGCCCGCGGCGGAUUAGCUUGUUGGUGGGGUAACGGCCUACCAAGGCGACGAUCCGUAGCUGGUCUGAGAGGAGGAUCGGCCACACUGGGACUGGGACACGGCCCAGACUCCUACGGGAGGCAGCAGUGGGGAAUCUUGCCCAAUGGGCGAAAGCCUGAGGCAGCGACGCCGCGUGCGGGAAGAAGGCCCUCGGGUUGUAAACCGCUUUCAGGAGGGACGAAGCCGCUCGGGUUAAUAGCCUAGAGGGUGACGGUACCUCCAGAAGAAGCCCCGGCUAACUACGUGCCAGCCGCCGCGGUAA